rnacentral:misc_RNA from 1 species
AACUGAUACUACCUGCGGGAACCUGCGGAGGGAUCAUUACCGAGUGCGGGCCCUCGCGGCCCAACCUCCCACCCUUGUCUAUACACCUGUUGCUUUGGCGGGCCCACCGGGGGACAUCGUCCCCGGGCCCGCGCCCGCCGAAGCGCCCUGUGAACCCUGAUGAAGAUGGGCUGUCUGAGUACUAUGAAAAUUGUCAAAACUUUUAGCAAUGGAUCUCU